AUGAGUGCUUUAGGCCGUCCACAAGAUAUCUUUUCGGAUACUGCCAUACAAUUACAACCUAUCUUUGCUCAAUGGGUACAAAAUAUCCAUGCUACUGCGCCUGGCGUAACAGCUCCUGGUGCAACAACAAGUACUAGCUUAACGUGGGGAGGCGGCGAGUUAGUAGUAGUAGUAGGUGGCAAAGUGGCUUUGUUACCUAUUCCAUUAGGAACCGUAGAUUUUUUAGUCCAUCACAUUCAUGCAUUUACCAUACAUGUGACUGUAUUAAUACUUUUGAAAGGUGUUUUAUUUGCUCGGAGUUCCCGUUUGAUACCCGAUAAAGCAAAUAUAGGUUUUCACUUUCCUUGCGAUGGGCCUGGCCAAGGGGGAACAUGUCAAGUAUCCGCCUGGGAUCAUGUUUUCUUAGGUUUAUUCUGA
rnacentral:rRNA from 1 species